rnacentral:rRNA from 1 species
GUGUAAAGGUAUAAGGGAGCUUGACUGCGAGAGCUACAACUCGAGCAGGGACGAAAGUCGGGCUUAGUGAUCCGGUGGUUCCGUAUGGAAGGGCCAUCGCUCAACGGAUAAAAGCUACCCUGGGGAUAACAGGCUUAUCUCCCCCAAGAGUUCACAUCGACGGGGAGGUUUGGCACCUCGAUGUCGGCUCGUCGCAUCCUGGGGCUGUAGUCGGUCCCAAGGGUUGGGCUGUUCGCCCAUUAAAGCGGCACGCGAGCUGGGUUCAGAACGUCGUGAGAC